GUGACGGGCGAAAGACGAGAAGAGACGGUGGCGGAAUUACGUCAGGAACGUAGUGGGCAGUCGUGACCGUUCGAGUCGACGAAUAUCGGUGCCAUCGCGACGAUAAUUGCCAACCGGAAUCACUGGCACGACACACGAAGAUGAAUCCGGGUUCUCGAGCGUCUCGAGAUUUUUCACGGCCACGUCGUGCAGAGGCGACGCGUUAACGAACGACGUUACGUAUUCGAGGAAAGAAUCUGAAAUCCGCCCCUGUGGAACGCGAGGAAAACGAGGAGAACGCGAACGGAGCGAGACACGGUGACCGAUCGUGAUCGUUAUUGUCCAUUAUGAACGGCAUUGUUUCGCCGAUGGUGGUGCGUGGCCCUUCGUUUCAAGUACUGGAUGCUCGAAUAUUUCACGCAGCAAAGUACGUGCCAAUCGAGAGACAAAGGGCUGCACGAGUUGGCAAGGGUGACUCGGUAUGACGAUCGUACAAUACUUUCUACGAAGCCUUUUCUCCGAAGCUAUGGCCAUUAAUGGCGCCCUCUUCCUCUUUCUGUCGAUCGCUCGUCCCGUUAUUUUACCGUUCGACUCAACUUUAGAGGCUUUAAAGGCCGUACUUGAAGACACUUCGUCUUCGUGAGAUAAAUAGUCUCUCGCGCAGCGCCAGCGCAAUUAACAGAUUCGCUGUCACACGGCGACGAAUCCUCAGAAAAAGACAUUGAUUUCCUGUGUAUCUUUACACGAAUGUGCCUACCGUUGCGGAAGGAGAUUAAUCCAGUAAUAAUCUGACGGCGAAUUAAUACGUGAAAUUUGGUAAAAUUUAAAUAACUUGCGAGUAUUAUUCGGUAUUAUUAGACAAGAAA